CCUACGGGAGGCAGCAGUGGGGAAUAUUGGACAAUGGGGGGAACCCUGAUCCAGCGACGCCGCGUGAGUGAAGAAGUAUUUCGGUAUGUUAAGCUCUAUCAGCAGGGAAGAAAAAAAUGACGGUACCUGACUGAGAAGCCCCGGCUAAAUACGUGCCAGCAGCCGCUGUAAUACGUAGGGGGCAAGCGUUAUCCGGAUUUACUGGGUGUAAAGGGAGCGUAGGCGGCGAUGCAAGUCUGACGUGAAAGGCGGGGGCCCAACCCCCGGACUGCUUUGGAGACUGUAUGGCUGGAGUGCAGGAGAGGUAAGUGGAAUGCAUGGUGUAGCGGUGAAAUGCGUAGAUAUUAGGAGGAACACCAGUGGCGAAGGCGGCUUACUGGACUGUAACUGACGUUGAGGCUCGAAAGCGUGGGGAGCAAACAGGAUUAGAUACCCGAGUAGUC
rnacentral:rRNA from 1 species